AACGAACGCUGGCGGCAGGCUUAACACAUGCAAGUCGAACGCAUCCUUCGGGGUGAGUGGCAGACGGGUGAGUAACGCGUGGGAACGUGCACUCCAGUUCGGGAUAACCCAGGGAAACUUGGGCUAAUACCGGAUACGUGCGAGAGCAGAAAGAUUUAUCGCUGAAGGAUCGGCCCGCGUCUGAUUAGCUAGUUGGUGGGGUAAUGGCACACCAAGGCGACGAUCAGUAGCUGGUCUGAGAAGAUGAUCAGCCACAUUGGGAAUGAGACACGGCCCCAACUCCUACGGGAGGCAGCAGUGGGGAAUAUUGGACAAUGGGCGCAAGCCUGAUCCAGCCAUGCCGCGUGAGUGAUGAGGGCCUUAGGGUUGUAAAGCUCUUUCGUCCGGGACGAUAAUGACGGUACCGGAAGAAGAAGCCCCGGCUAACUUCGUGCCAGCAGCCGCGGUAA
rnacentral:rRNA from 1 species